GCGCCCGUAGCUCAGCGGAAGAGCAACCGCCUUCUAAGCGGUGGGUCGGGGGUUCAAAUCCCUCCGGGCGCGCCA
rnacentral:tRNA from 3 species